AUCGAUAAUCCGCGCUAANUUUCACUCUUAUUACAUAUUUAUAUACCGCCAUCUUAAGAAUUAAUUUAAAAACAUUACUCAAAAAAACAAAUAAAAAGUUAGGUCAAGGUGUAAUUAACAUAAAAGCAUGAGAUGAAUUACUUUAAAUAAAAUUUAAAGAUUAAAUAUAAUAUAUAUUUAUAAAUAAGGAUUUAAAAGUAAUAUUUUAAUAAUAUUACAAUAUGAGAUAAAUUAAAAAUGUGUACACAUCGCCC
rnacentral:rRNA from 1 species